rnacentral:snoRNA from 1 species
AGUUCCUGUCAAAGGUAGUCUGACAGGAAGUACUGCUAUCUCCUCAGUUUAGCUAGGCUGUAGUAAGAACAGGGCUGGCUUUUAAGAGCACAAGAGAGC